AUGACCCUCGACGUUGCCUUCGAUAAAACGAUCUUGUCCCUUACGAAAAUUGUUAAAACGUCUCAUAAGUUGCUUUCGAUGACUGUAAAAUCGACCCACGCCUGUCCCUUCACAUCCAACUAUGGGGCUUCUUACCAAAUUAAUAGUAAGAAAGCAACAUUAAAAGGAGGAAGAAAAGAAAAAUUGAAAACCUUUCAAGUAGAUAGAUUCGCUCCUAGUUUCUCGUUUGCUCACGACAAAAAAAAACAUUUUUACACCUACACUUUCAUCUCAAAAAUAUUUUCAAAAGACAAAAUGUAUUGUAUACGUUCUUAUAGAGACGAGAACCAUUACAAAGACAUUUUUUCAAAAUAUUUCCAAAGCUCACACCACAAGCACACUGUCAAAAUAAAAGCAAGUGAUCUAAACGAGUAA